GAUAAUCACACCAACAAAGCAAUUGCAAACACCCACUAACAGCAACACAUUCCCCACCAACACACAACAUACGUUAUCAAACACAGUUGGUAGGCCACGGCUCACCAAGCCAACAACACAUAGCCGCCCCUGCCAAGGCGCCAGGCCAAACUCCCAACGAGACACGGCCCAGAUCCCACGCAAGCCCAGCAGUAGGGAAUCUUCGGCAAUGGACGGAAGUCUGACCGAGCAACCCCCCUGAGUGAAGAAGGUUUUAGGAUCCAAAAGAUCUGUUGUAAGACACGAACGAAUCCCAGAGUGGAAAGUUCACACUGUGACGGUAUCUUACCAGAAAGGGACGGCUAACUACGUGCCAGCAGCCGCGGUAAUACGUAGGUCCCGAGCGUUGUCCGGAUUUAUUGGGCGUAAAGCGAGCGCAGGCGGUUAGAUAAGUCUGAAGUUAAAGGCUGUGGCUUAACCAUAGUACGCUUUGGAAACUGUUUAACUUGAGUGCAAGAGGGGAGAGUGGAAUUCCAUGUGUAGCGGUGAAAUGCGUAGAUAUAUGGAGGAACACCGGUGGCGAAAGCGGCUCUCUGGCUUGUAACUGACGCUGAGGCUCGAAAGCGUGGGGAGCAAACAGG
rnacentral:rRNA from 1 species